rnacentral:lncRNA from 1 species
GCGGCGGGUGGCGGCGGUCGGCCUCUGGUUCGUCUUCUCCGGCGAGCGGCGGGCGGCUAGGGUUUGUGGUCUGGUGUGGGGGUUCUAUUUAUAACCCCUUGCCUUUUGAUCACAGCCGUUCAUUUCGUUUUAAUAUGGGCCGUUCGUUUUUGAUUGAAUCUGGGCCGUCCGUGCGAUUGAAUCUGGGCCGUCCGAUCGCGCGAUUGAUCUGGGCCGUCGGAUCGCCAACGUGGCUCCUUUCGGAGUGACGCGGUCUUGCCACGUGGCAGGCCCCGGUUGGCCGGGACUGUUGACCGGGCCUGCUGACGUGGCCCCCCCCCCCGUUUUUUUUUUUUUUUUUUUUUUUUUCCUCCUUUCCGGGUGCUACAACUCUCCCCCCCAUAAAGAAAUUUGGUCCCCAAAUUUGCCUCAUUACUCUUGAUCAAACAGAUGAGGAUAUUGGGCCCUAAAUUCUGAUUCCAGCUCCCAAAUCGCCUCCCUAGGCGUGUGGUUCUGCCACAAGACUUUUACAAAUGAUAUUUCCCGGUUACGGAGUAUUCUGCUUUCUCGGUCCGUGAUACUGACCGGUACUUCUUCAUAAGACAAGUCCUCUCGGAGUGAAAGCGGUUCAUGAGCCACGACAUGAGAAGGGUCUGGAUUGUACUUGCGCAGCAUAGAUACAUGAAACACAUUGUGAACCUGGGAGAGCUCAGGGGGCA